CAGUCGCCGCGGUAAUACGAGGGGUGCAAGCGUUAUUCGGAUUGAUUGGGUGUAAAGGGUGUGCAGACGGCUUAUUAAGUCACUUGUUAAAUUCUUCGGCCUAACUGAAGUUCUGCAAGUGAUACUGAUGAGCUAGAGGGUGGAAGAGAGAAGUGGAAUUCUCGGAGUAGCGGUAAAAUGCGUAGAUCUCGAGAGGAACACCAAUGGCGAAGGCAGCCUCUUGGUCCAUUCAUGACGUUCAUACACGAAAGCGUGGGGAGCAAACAGGAUUAGAUACCCCAGUAGUCCCUGUCUCUUAUAC
rnacentral:rRNA from 1 species